CAACUUUCAGCAACGGAUCUCUUGGCUCUCGCAUCGAUGAAGAACGCAGCGAAAUGCGAUAAGUAAUGUGAAUUGCAGAAUUCAGUGAAUCAUCGAAUCUUUGAACGCACCUUGCACUCCUUGGUAUUCCGAGGAGUAUGCCUGUUUGAGUCUCAU
rnacentral:rRNA from 1 species